rnacentral:rRNA from 1 species
GAUGAACGCUGGCGAGAUGCUUUACACAUGCAAGUCGUACGAGAGUUUUAACUCAAGUGGCGGACGGGUGAGUAACACGUAAGAAUUUGCCUUUAGGAGGGGGACAACAAUUGGAAACGAUUGCUAAUACCCCAUAUGCUUUUGAGUGAAAUGGAUUUUUCCGCCUAAAGAGAAGCUUGCGGCUGAUUAGCUUGUUGGUAAGGUAAUGGCUUACCAAGGCGACGAUCAGUACUGGUUUGAGAGGGCGAUCAGAUACACUGGAACUGAGACACGGUCCAGACUCCUACGGGAGGCAGCAGUGGGGAAUUUUCCGCAAUGGGCGAAAGCCUGACGGAGCAAUCUCGCGUGAGGGAUGACGG